rnacentral:ncRNA from 1 species
GAUUUAGCACGGGACGAUAAGACCCUGGCACCUUGACUUCAAGCUGUUGUUGCUGUUCUUACUUCAGGAGUUCAGUCUAGGUGGGACUUUUCUGAUUUCAUAGAAAAGACAAAUGAGAGACCACCCUUUUGAAGAAGAGCAGCUCCAAAAAAAGGAACUGUGAAGGCGUUGUUCAAACUCUGUUUGAACACACUCAACUCACUCUCAGCUUAGGGCCCUAAGGGCCUUCCAGAGGCCAUCGCUCUUUGGAGCAACCCUAAUGAGGCCUUUAAUCCUAGGCGAAAGUUCUGUUUUUGGUCAGACAGUGUGGGAGUUUCUCUGGGGCGGAGGCCUCCAAAACAGUAUCGGAGGCGCGCCAAGGUUAGAAAUCCCCCUUUCAUGGGUAAGAUUUUGUGGCAAUCCAUUUCUCUAGCCUGACUGUAAGGAACACUCUCCGAACAGGUACGCAAGUAGGCGAUAGUGACCCAGUGGUUUGGUGUGGAAAAACCACUGAUCAUCGGAUCAAAGGUACGCCAGGGAUAACAGGUUCAUCGGCUCCUAGAGGUGCGCCAUUGUGCCGUUGUUCUGUGCUGUGAACGAGAGUUCACCUACAUCAUCUUCGCUUCUAUGUAGUAAAGCACUUCCCUGAAUGCCGUCGAAAACGACGGAGUUCUAAGCGGGAAAGAAAGCCAUGUGAGUGGGGAAGAUACCACCAACAGGCAUUGGUAAGCUAGUCUUGGCAUGGCUAAGUUAAUGAACCCGAAACACAUACGUCGUCCGUGAUAAAGCCGCGCAGUAAUUCAUACCUUGAUGCCCUUGAGGGGCAUCAAGCAUAUCCUUGAUGUGCUAAAGACACAUCAAGCAUGUCCCAGGUGUUUUUUAGAACACCGACCAUGUCCUAGAUGUUCUUUAGAACAUCGGCCAUAUUCUCCCUUAAGAAUUAUUUGACACAGGACUUUCUAACACUCUUCAUGGAAAAUCCAGCGAAGAUUGUGAAUCAGGAGCCACCCGAUGGUAAAGACGUACGGGAGCCUAAACCAGGAAAAAAGAACGCAAGAACAACGGAACUAUGGGAUUGCCUAACGGACUAAAGUCCUAUGGGAACGGAGCUAUCUUAACAGGGAUAACGUUAGAUGAAAAAUCUAACCGUGUAAAAAUUUUUUGCACUCCCCAAGAAAAGCAAGAUCGUUAACCACAAAAACCUUUGUAUUAACAUCUGGCGAGCCGUAUGAAUUGAAAGGUUCACGUACGGUUCUGAGGGCAGUUUCAGAACCUAAAGGGAUUCCCUCUGGUCUAAAGACCAGAGCAUUCCUCUGGUCUAAAGACCAGAGCAUUCCCUAUGGAACUUCUUCUGACCCCUACUCCCUAUCGACGAGCUGGUUUGACACCUCGAUGUCGGCUUGUUGCGUCCUUGGGCUGCAGAAGGUCCAAAGGGUAGGACUGUUCGUCCUUUAAUGCAGCACACGAGCUGGGUUUAGUGCGUCGUGAGACAGUACGGUUCCUAUCUGUGCUAAAUUAGACUGAGACUCAGACCCCCCAGUACGAGAGGACCGGAGGGGUCCCAACCUCUGGUCUACCGGUUAUUGUUUCUGCAGUAUCGCCGGGCAGCUAAGUUGGACAUCAGAACCGCUGAAGGCAUCUGAAGUGGGAAAGAUUUGUCAAAACAGGUCUCUAAAUUCGUGGAAGUCUACCACGUGGAUCGGCAACAAGUGUACUUCUGUAAAGACUGGCUUGGUUGUACGAAACAACA